GCACCCGUAGCUCAGCUGGAUAGAGCGCUGCCCUCCGAAGGCAGAGGUCGUGAGUUCGAAUCUCGCCGGGUGCA
rnacentral:tRNA from 1 species